rnacentral:rRNA from 1 species
AAAGACCUUAUGCUUUUGGAGCGGCCGAUGUCUGAUUAGCUAGUUGGUAAGGUAAUGGCUUACCAAGGCGACGAUCAGUAGUUGGUCUGAGAGGACGGCCAGCCACACUGGGACUGAGACACGGCCCAGACUCCUACGGGAGGCAGCAGUGGGGAAUUUUGGACAAUGGGCGCAAGCCUGAUCCAGCAAUGCCGCGUGAGUGAAGAAGGCCUUCGGGUUGUAAAGCUCUUUCAGUCGAGAAGAAAAGGUUGUGACUAAUAAUUGCAACUUAUGACGGUAUCGACAGAAGAAGCACCGGCUAACUACGUGCCAGCAGCCGCGGUAAUACGUAGGGUGCGAGCGUUAAUCGGAAUUACUGGGCGUAAAGGGUGCGCAGGCGGUUCUGUAAGUCAGAUGUGAAAUCCCCGGGCUUAACCUGGGAACU